UACGUAGGGCGCAAGCGUUAUCCGGAAUUACUGGGCGUAAAGGGCGCGUAGGCGGCCUUCUAAGUCGAACGUGAAAUCCCCGGGCUCAACCCGGGAACUGCGUCCGAGACUGGAAGGCUCGAAUCCGGGAGAGGGAUGGUGGAAUUCCAGGUGUAGCGGUGAAAUGCGUGAGAUAUCUGGAGGAACAUCGGUGGCGAAGGCGGCAUCCUGGACCGGUAUUGACGCUGAGGCGCGGAAAGCCAGGGGGAGCAAACGGG
rnacentral:rRNA from 1 species